AGUGAACGCUGGCGGUAGGCCUAACACAUGCAAGUCGAACGGUAACAGGUUAAGCUGACGAGUGGCGAACGGGUGAGUAAUGCAUCGGAACGUGCCCGAUCGUGGGGGAUAACGCAGCGAAAGCUGCGCUAAUACCGCAUACGAUCUGAGGAUGAAAGCGGGGGACCGUAAGGCCUCGCGCGAUCGGAGCGGCCGAUGGCAGAUUAGGUAGUUGGUGGGGUAAAGGCCCACCAAGCCGACGAUCUGUAGCUGGUCUGAGAGGACGACCAGCCACACUGGGACUGAGACACGGCCCAGACUCCUACGGGAGGCAGCAGUGGGGAAUUUUGGACAAUGGGCGAAAGCCUGAUCCAGCAAUGCCGCGUGCAGGAAGAAGGCCUUCGGGUUGUAAACUGCUUUUGUACGGAGCGAAAAGGCCCUUUCUAAUACAAGGGGCUCAUGACGGUACCGUAAGAAUAAGCACCGGCUAACUACGUGCCAGCCGCCGCAGUAA
rnacentral:rRNA from 1 species